rnacentral:lncRNA from 1 species
AUUUUUCAAACCAACCUGUGAGAUAAGAAAAGCAGAUAUCAUUAAGGAAAACAAAUGUGCAGAGGUGAGGCAGCUGGGAGGGCCUGGGCAGGAUGGGGGACCCAGGUCCAGGCUUCUGCCCUGCUGCAGUUCCCAGUGGCAUCAGUCACCUCAGAAGGCUGUGAUCCGAAGGGGCAGCGACUCAGGGUAGCUCAGGCCAUUCCCACAGCACCAGAGAGUUGGUAACGUAGGUCUCAAAGACACCAUUUUACAUGAAGGUUCUCCUGAAGGCAUCAGAAGCCUUGUAGAUAAAACCGUAACUGCUUUUCUAAUACUGGGGGGGUGGAUUUUGCACAAAAUUAUCUAGAGGGGGAAAACAGAUUGGUGAACCCUGACUUUCAUUUUUUCUAAGUCAAAGGUUUUCAUUGUUACUCCCAGGUGCCUUCGAAACAUCUGCAAGUUUUUAGUCUUGCUCAUCCCACUCUUCCUUUUACUAGCAGGUCUCUCCUUACGGGGCCAGGGCAAUUUCUUUUCGUUCUUGCCCGUGUUGAACUGGGCAAGCAUGCAUAGAACACAGCGGGUGGAUGACC